GUGAUAUGGUAUGAGAUAUCCCUGUGAUCAGCUGGGGUCAGCUGUCCCAGCUGUGUCCCCUCCCAACUCCCUGUGCACCGCCAGCCCCUCACUGGUGGGGUGGGUGGGAGGCAGAAGAGGCCUUUGCUCUGUGCAAGGUCUGCUCAGCAAGAACUAAAACCUCCCUGUGUCAUCAAUUCUGUUCCCAGCACAAAUUCAAAACAUAGCACCAUAGCAGCUACUGUGAAGACAAUUAACCCAGCCAAAACUCAUUCAGCUCCAGCAACUGAUUGGGUGCACAUUUCCAAGUGGACUUGAAGAAAUGGAUCUAUUUAAACUGAGAGAAUCUGCUAAUUCAGCAGGCAAGAAGAAGGAAGCCAGGAAGCUGCAGACUGGCCAUGCUUACCUUGAUGUGUGGAGAAGUGAUGGAAAAACUCAUCCUGGAAGCUAUUUGCAGGCACAGGGAGGUGAUCCAGAGUAGGCUGCAUGGAUUAAUGAAAGAGAUGCUGUGCUUGACCAA